rnacentral:rRNA from 1 species
CAUAUAUACUAGUCUUGUCUAGAAGAUGACGAGUGGCGGACGCGGUGAGUAAUGCUUGGGAACUUGCCUUUGCGAGGGGGAUAACAGUUGGAAACGACUGCUAAUACCGCAUAAUGUCUUCGGACCAAACGGGGCUUCGGCUCCGGCGCAAAGAGAGGCCCAAGUGAGAUUAGCUAGUUGGUAAGGUAACGGCUUACCAAGGCGACGAUCUCUAGCUGUUCUGAGAGGAAGAUCAGCCACACUGGGACUGAGACACGGCCCAGACUCCUACGGGAGGCAGCAGUGGGGAAUAUUGCACAAUGGGGGAAACCCUGAUGCAGCCAUGCCGCGUGUGUGAAGAAGGCCUUCGGGUUGUAAAGCACUUUCAGUUGUGAGGAAAAGUUAGUAGUUAAUACCUGCUAGCCGUGACGUUAACAACAGAAGAAGCACCGGCUAACUCCGUGCCAGCAGCCGCGGUAAUACGGAGGGUGCGAGCGUUAAUCGGAAAUACUGGGCGUAAAGCGCACGCACGCGGUUUGUUAAGCUAGAUGUGAAAGCCCCGGGCUCAACCUGGGAUGGUCAUUUAGAACUGGCAGACUAGAGUCUUGGAGAGGGGAGUGGAAUUCUAGGUGUAGCGGUGACAUGUGUAGAUAUCUGGAGGAACAUCAGUGUCGAAGGCGACUUCCCUGGUCAAAGACUGACGCUCAUGUGCGAAAGAGUGUGUA